AGGUUGUCUACAAAGUAUCCAACCUAUGGCAAUGUUGAACAAAAGUAAAGUAAAAAGUCAAGUAAGAAGUUUUUCAUUGGGUCUAGUACCCAAAUUUGGGAUCCCAGGCACCUGUGACCAACACAGGGCCACUGGUUUUGCCCGGUACUCUUUAGUGGGUAUGCCAGUUGUCCUUCCGGACCCUAUUCUUUAUUGUACAUCUAUGCAAUGCGGCCUAUUAAUGCCAACUUCCUUUUUGUCCAUCACAGUUAUCAAUAACACAAGUUUGUACAUGUAUGUUUUUUCAAGUCUUUAAUAAAUUCAAUGAAAACCA